rnacentral:tRNA from 1 species
AUUUAUAUAGUGUAAUUAAACACUUUACUUUUUCAUAGUAAUAACGGAUUUAUAUCCUAUAAAUU